rnacentral:rRNA from 1 species
AGAGAGAGACAUGCGCGCAUAUCAAUAAGCGGAGGAAAAGAAACUAACUAGGAUUCCCUCAGUAACGGCGAGUGAAGCGGGAAGAGCUCAAAUUUGAAAUCUUCAAGGUUUUACCUUGACGAAUUGUAGUUUAAAGAAGUGUUUUCUGCUGGAGUUUUGGUAAAAGUUCUUUGGAAUAGGACAUCAUAGAGGGUGAGAAUCCCGUAUUUGACCAUUAUUUUCAGCUUUGUGAUACACUUUCAAAGAGUCGGAUUGUUUGGGAAUGCAGUCCAAAAUGGGUGGUAAAUUUCAUCUAAAGCUAAAUAUUGGCGAGAGACCGAUAGCGAACAAGUACCGUGAGGGAAAGAUGAAAAGAACUUUGAAAAGAGAGUUAAACAGUACGUGAAAUUGUCAAAAGGGAAGCGUUUGACACCAAUGUUGUUUUCUCGAAAAUCAAUUAAAAAUGGCUCGAUUUUGUAUUGCUGAGACCUUAAAAGCUCACUGUACAUUUUUCGUGUCUUUUUUAAUGCACUUUUCGUUUAACAAGUCAACAUCAGUUUCUUUUGUUGUAAAAGGGUCAUUGGAAGGUGGCUUUCUUUUCGGAGAAAGUGUUUAUAGCCUUUGGCCUCUGCAAUCGGAGAGACUGAGGUCUGCAGCGUAGACUCUUCGGGGUUAGAUACAUUUGUGCUAAGUUAUAGCUUUUUAUAGACAACUUGUUGACUAUAAUUAGUCUUGUAGCUUACUCGCUUAUGCUAUUUUACCUACGCUUAGGAUGUUGAAGAUGUAGCACAUCAU